CGGGCACUCACAAAGGCGAGGGCAGGUCUGGGGGGAAGGAACGGCGGUGAGAAAUGGCUCCUGCUGCGGCUCUUUGCCGGGAGGCUGGAGGGUUGGGGAGGUUGCUCUGCCCUCCUGCCCGCCCCGCGCUUGCACCUCGGUUGGGAGCACACCACGGUGCUGCCACGGCCAAAGGCAGAGCUGGCACGUGAAGAUGUUGCCCAGCACACCGUGGUGACACCAGUCACCUCCCAUCGCCCCUGCUGGCACAGCCCUUCGCAUGUGGUGUGGGACCGUCCUGUGACAGCUGGGACGUGCUGCAAAUGAGGAAACCUGGUAAAUCAGAGAGCACAGAGUCCAGUCCUGGUGGGAGCUUCGUUAACGACCAGACUGGUACAUCAGUGAGAUGGCUGAUGAUGCUCCUCACCGUGGCGGUGAUGCUCGGCCGGGUGAGUCCCACUGUGGGUAUUUCAUCCUCACCCACCUGGCUCUGGAAAUCUCGACGACAUAGAAGAUCCUCCCAGAGCCUCCAUCUCUCUCUGCCCCUCUCUCUGGGCCAGAAACCGUGGUAGGAGCCAGGUUCUGCCGCAGCACAUCCAGCUGGUGGCCUGGAGAACCCCAUGGCCUGACACAGCCCGGCCACGGGCACCGUGGGGUGGGAAGGGUUGGCAGGAGCGUCAGCUCCCAGAAUGUGUCAGAAAGGCCAGCUCAUGAUUAACGACUAAUUAGGAAAUGUCUGUCAUGAUUAUUAUCCUAACGAUCCCGGUAAGGAAAGCUCCUUACCUUAGGAAAAAAAUGGAUGUUGGCUCCAAUAGUCCCCAAAUGGAACAGCCCACUGUGGGAAACUCCAGACUUCUAUAAAAACAAAUAGUCUCGGGUUUGCGUAUGAGAUUUUAUUUUUAAGUAAGCCAAAGCCAACCGGAUGAUUUUUCAUGUUGCUCUGUAACCUGGGGGCUUGUCAGGGCUGGCAGGGCCGAGGGGACUGGGCACGUGGCUCUGCCGGGGCACCGCGGGCUCUGUCCGGGACACACACACCAUCUGGGGCUCCUCCUCACAGCACAGCAACGGCCCAAACCCACCACAGACCUUCCACUAAAACUACAGAAUGAAGCACAAAGCCACUGAAGGGACUAGUGCCAUUGCAUCAGGUGAGCUUCGUUAAUCCUUUGUGACAUCACUUUACGUCAAAGCUGAUGGCACAGGCAAUGCCAGCGUUGGAUUCAACGCCCUAACUGGACAGUCAGGUAUUUGGUUUAGUAUUGCAUUUCAAUGGGAUCAUUUUUUGUCAUUGCUAAGGUAUAUUCAGAACAGACACAGUGGUUAAGAAGUAAAAUUUUAAAUAUAUCAGAAUUUGCCUAGAAAGACAUUCCCAAGCAAUACAAUGUCUCUAACGAACAGGUAUUAUUCUAGUCCAGCUCUAAAGCCAUUAGCCCAUGUACUCCUUCUUAGGCUUCCCAGCAACUCCCUUUAGCUUCAGGAGCUCAGCUCAGAGGAUUAGGAAAUAGAUCAGCUAAAGUCUGGAAAAUGGAAAGUGCUCUGUAACUGAGCUGGGCUGUCACAGGGAUGGCCACAGGGAAACUUCUCUGGGGUCAAUGAGACGUGUCCAGUUAUAUCGACAAGUAUUUUCCAGCUACAACAUCAACCCAAUACUUCAUUUUGUCAAGAAAUUGGUGAGCACAGACAUAGCCAUGCAACCAGAAAUUAGUCUUGCCCUGAGUUUAGUACAUUAAGAAACCAAACAGCCAGAAAGAAAACGUACCGUGCACGCAGCAGUUUGAAAGCACGCAGAGCAAAUGGGGUUUGGGGCACCGCUGUGUCACCCCCAACCGCGAGGUGCCUCGGCGGUCACGGCCCCGCUCCAGCGCCAGGACAGCCCACAGGCCGGGGCCGAUCUGCUUUAGCACCUGCAGAGCUGAGCUCAGUUGUUCCUUUCUCCACAACGGGAGGGACAUCGAGCCCGGACUGUGUCGGGCCCUCAGCAAGGGCUUCUCCAGCUCAGUGAGUGCACAGCUAGAAGUGAUCAGAAUACAAACACUGAGCGGUGAGGAUGGAGCACAAGCCUGUUUCCCCAUCUCUAAAAACACCUGCAUUUCCUUUUGUGGCAGCAACCCCACAUAAAGCACCUUCCCCAAAGAAAGAUGUAAAAGUGCAUCUGACACCCACACCACGGGUCCUCGCAGCAGAGCUGCUGUGCGGCCGCAUCUCAGCCCCCCAUGGUGCCACUGUCCCCAGCACCCCCAACCCGCACGCGGCCCUGGGUGCCACCAGGUCACCCAUGGCUGGUGGCAAAUCCAUGGCAUCGGCCACCACGGCCCUCAGGUCCCUCAGGAGAGUUAAGAUGAUGCUGACUCGGAAACCACGAGCUCUCUGUUUACUUCAUCUCAUAUAUGGUGACUAAUUCCAUCGUUCAAAGAGCUGACGAUGAUGAAAACAAGUGGAACGAUCAGGAAGGAAAUUAAAAAUAGCCCUCCUGUGGCACUGUGUCAAGUGUUCAUGUUUAGAUUUUAAUUUCAUUUUUUUAUUCUAAGCUUCUUUGAUAAAAUAUUUUCCCAUGCUGAACACACUUGGAACGUCCCCUCCAUCGCGGCAUUCCUGACGGAUGAGCCAGGCGGCCGCGGACCCUAUGCCAGGGCCGUAUUCCCUCCGCUCCGCUAUUCUCACUCCCACAUCCACACCUUUGGGACUGGAAGCCAUUAAUCAUCACGCCCCAGCCAGGACGGUACCUCUGGAGGCAGAAACACCAUCUUGGACACAGUACGGGAAGGAAACCCUGAUUUGACAGCCAGCACCAGACCGGGACCACAUCGCUGCUUGGAUCUAUGUGGCAGCAGACACCUCACUGCAGGGGUUCCAAGAACAGGCUGCCAAGGUCUCAUCAUGUCAAAUUACUGAGUUGCAAAAAUAGGAGACACCCCUCUGUCCUCAGGCUCCCACCACUCACUUACCACCUGUAUGGGUAACACAAGCAGCUACAGUCUCUCUGUUUAGGGGGAUGCAUUAAAAUCCCAUUUGUUAAAAAUUGGUAAAAGAAAUCCAAGGGUGGAGGGAAUCCUGAAAACAGCAUUUACAAGGAGAAAUGGUCGUCAGGAUGUCUUGGUUCCUUCUGCGGGGGCGCAGGGAUGUGACUGUGGUAUGGAUAAUAAACUGUGAACAACCGUCACAGCGGCUGCUCUGCCGUGCGCCUGUACAGACACAACGGGACGCUGCAGAGCGAGGGUGCUCGGCUCCCAGGGCUGGGGAGGACGCUGCGUGCACCACAAGUAACUUAAAUUUUCUGUGAUGCAGUAGGCAGGGAAGCGGAGAUCCGUGACUUCUGGGAAGAGGGAGCUUUUAUGGAUCAGUUACCGGAAAACUAGAAGACUGCCUUCCCAAAGUAGUGGGGAAAGCCCAUGCUCAUAAGUCCCUUUAAAAUCCUCCCUGCAGCAGGUACAGCCCGUGGGACUGCAGGCAGCAGUGAGCAGCCCGGGAUGCUCAUCCUGAGCCCAAUAUCAGCCAAUUCCAAUUAAACAUCUAUAAGAGA